ACGGAGGGUGCAAGCGUUAAUCGGAAUUAUUGGGCGUAAAGGGUGCGUAGGUGGUUAGGUAAGUUAUCUGUGAAAGCCCCGGGCUCAACCUGGGACGGUCAGAUAAAACUGCUUGACUCGAGUAUAGGAGAGGGUAGUGGAAUUUCCGGUGUAGCGGUGAAAUGCGUAGAGAUCGGAAGGAACACCAGUGGCGAAGGCGGCUACCUGGCCAGAUACUGACACUGAAGCACGAAAGCGUGGGGAGCAAACAGG
rnacentral:rRNA from 1 species